rnacentral:rRNA from 1 species
UACAGAGGGGGCGAGCGUUGUUCGGAAUUACUGGGCGUAAAGGGCGCGUAGGCGGCCAACUAAGUCAGACGGUGAAAUCCCGUCGGCUCAACCGGGGAACUGCGUCUGAUACUGGGAUGGCUUGAAUUCGGGAGAGGGAUGCGGAAUUCCAGGUGUAGCGGUGAAAUGCGUAGAGUAGUCUGGAGGAACACCGGUGGCCGAAGGCGGCAUCCUGGACCGAGA